GACGAACGCUGGCGGCGUGCUUAACACAUGCAAGUCGAACGGAAAGGCCCUGCUUGCAGGGUACUCGAGUGGCGAACGGGUGAGUAACACGUGGGUGAUCUGCCCUGCACUUCGGGAUAAGCCUGGGAAACUGGGUCUAAUACCGGAUAGGAGCCAUUUUUAGUGUGAUGGUUGGAAAGUUUUUUCGGUGUAGGAUGAGCUCGCGGCCUAUCAGCUUGUUGGUGGGGUAAUGGCCUACCAAGGCGGCGACGGGUAGCCGGCCUGAGAGGGUGGACGGCCACAUUGGGACUGAGAUACGGCCCAGACGCCUACGGGAGGCAGCAGGGGGGAAUAUUGCACAAGGGGCGCAAGCCUGAUGCAGCGACGCCGCGUGGGGGAUGACGGCCUUCGGGUUGUAAACUCCUUUCGCUAGGGACGAAGCUUUUUGUGACGGUACCUAGAGAAGAAGCACCGGCUAACUACGUG
rnacentral:rRNA from 1 species